rnacentral:rRNA from 1 species
UACAGAGGGUGCGAGCGUUAAUCGGAAUUACUGGGCGUAAAGCGUGCGUAGACGGUUAUGUAAGUCGGGUGUGAAAGCCCCGGGCUCAACCUGGGAAUUGCAUUCGAGACUGCAUAGCUAGGGUGCGGAAGAGGGAAGCGGAAUUUCCGGUGUAGCGGUGAAAUGCGUAGAUAUCGGAAGGAACACCAGUGGCGAAGGCGGCCACCUGGACUUUAACUGACGCUGAGGCGCGAAAGCGUGGGGAGCGAACAGG